CCGUUUAAAAUGAUCGGAGGGAUGUGGCUUCGAUUUCGAUUGAAGUGUUAUAACCUCUGGUAGAUGUAACUGUCGGGACCGAGGAUUGCAACGGAUACCCUAACGGGCUAUUCGUCUGGCCUCUGAUACGACACUUCGGCGUCGAAAGCUUGCUUACGAUGUUGAAGCGUUCGGUCAAAAGGUUAGAACGGAUUAAAUUCGUUAAGGAUGUUGACGUA
rnacentral:rRNA from 1 species